rnacentral:rRNA from 1 species
CGAGACGCUACUGCUUGCAGUGGCUAGUAAAGUGGCGCACGGGUGAGUAACGCGUGGGUAAUCUACCUCCGAACUGGGGAUAACAUUGCGAAAGCGAUGCUAAUACCGAAUGACAUCGGUUCUUCUUUGGCGGAACUGAUCAAAGGUGGUCUCUCUAUAGAAGCUACCAUUUGGAGAUGAGCCCGCGUCCCAUUAGCUAGUUGGCGGGGUAAAGGCCCACCAAGGCCGCGAUGGGUAGCUGGUCUGAGAGGAUGGCCAGUCACACUGGAACUGACACACGGUCCAGACUCCUACGGGAGGCAGCAGUGAGGAAUUUUGCGCAAUGGGGGAAACCCUGACGC